AUGGAGAAGAAGGCUGACUCCAAAAUGAUAUCUGACUAUGCAAUGUUUGGUGAUGUUAUAUGCUUUGACACCACAUAUAGGAAACUAGAUGAUGGGUGUCCCUUUGGUUUGAUUGUUGGGGUGAAUAAUCACGAGAAAACUAUGGUCUUUGGUGCUACACUUACUAUGAUGAAACUGCUGAAAGAGAUAACAAGGAACCACAAUCUGCACGAGGAUCUAAAAGCAAGAAUGUCGAACUUUUACAACGACUUGUGCAGAAUGUUUAUCCACAUAGUUGCUCGCACCGUAGAGUCCGAUGAAACAUAUGACAUGGCUGCUAAAUGUGUAGAGCAGCUAGCACGAGAUGUCGAGCAAAGCUUGAAAAUUAGAGUUGAUCUAGAUCCAUAUAUGGAUUUGGGAUGA
rnacentral:rRNA from 1 species